rnacentral:rRNA from 1 species
CAGUCGCCACGGUAACACGUAGGGUGCGAGCGUUAAUCGGAAUUACUGGGCGUAAAGCGUGCGCAGGCGGUUUUGUAAGACAGGCGUGAAAUCCCCGGGCUCAACCUGGGAAUGGCGCUUGUGACUGCAAAGCUAGAGUGCGGCAGAGGGGGAUGGAAUUCCGCGUGUAGCAGUGAAAUGCGUGGAUAUGCGGAGGAACACCGAUGGCGAAGGCAAUCCCCUGGGCCUGCACUGACGCUCAUGCACGAAAGCGUGGGGAGCAAACAGGAUUAGAUACCCCUGUAGUCCCUGUCUCUUAUAC